rnacentral:rRNA from 1 species
CCUACGGGAGGCAGCAGUAGGGAAUCUUCGUCAAUGGGCGCAAGCCUGAACGAGCCAUGCCACGUGAACGAGGAAGGUCUUCGGAUCGUAAAGUUCUGUUGAAGGGGAAAAAGAGCGGAGAGAGGAAAUGGUCUCCGAUUGAUAUUACCCUUCGAGGAAGUCACGGCUAACUACGUGCCAGCAGCCGCGGUAAGACGUAGGGGGCGAGCGUUAUCCGGAAUGAUUGGGCGUAAGGGGUGCGUAGGCGGCCUGCUGAGUCUGGGGUGAAAGGUCCCGGCUCAACCGGUACAGGCUCUGGAAACUGGCGGGCUAGAGAGCAGGAGAGGGCGGUGGAACUCCAUGUGUAGCGGUAAAAUGCGUAGAUAUAUGGAAGAACACCAGUGGCGAAGGCGGCCGCCUGGCCUGUUACUGACGCUGAGGCACGAAAGCGUGGGGAGCAAAUAGGAUUAGAUACCCUUGUAGUC